ACGGAGCAAGUCUUUGAAACAAGCAAAGAAUUUUCGGGAAGUUGGCUAUCCCUUCCUCAUUUUCCUUGAUCUCUGUGCUCUCUGGGAGUCCAGUCGAAUCUUUGGGUUAGGGUUUCGCAUAGAAUUUACAAUCAGCGAAGCUGGAAAUGCACGGUGGAGAACAACUUAAUGGCCACCAAGAGGUCCACUACCACCACCAUAAUCACUAAUUCGAUCACCGCAACCACCGGCCAUCACCGGCAUUUUAACGAAUCUUACUACCAUCCCAGUCACCAUGACCAGUACCACCACAAUUACCAGCCCGACUUGACAUCACUGCCAGCACCCUGUUCACAGUGACAACCACCAUCGCGACGCGAUCUCUGAACCAAACGAUUCGUUUGUACCAGCAGGAGUUCCGUCGAAUAGUGGUGCCGGAGGUGGUGGUAGUGGAGGAUAUGGCCCUUGGUCCUGGUUCUGGCUUGAGUAGCUUCUCUAGAUGUGUGUAACUUUCUGUUUCGUGGGAAGUUCUUUUCAAAUGAUGCAAUUGUGGAUGAAGCUGAAGGGGCAAUUAGAGCUUUAAACCAUCAAUAUACUUUUGUUGGGAUCUGGAUCAUGUGCAACUGCACUCAGAGUCUAGUCCUGUUAUUGGUCCAACAAGCAGUAAAGAGAUUCCAGUUGGUUGUAGUGGAAACUGGGCAUUUGGCUGGAUUUGUGUUGAACAGCUUUAAGCAAUAUGUGAUUGUCUAAUUGGUCUUGGUGGUAUGCUCCCUCAAACCUUGGGUGCAAACAAUUUCUAGAGGCCGCGUUUCAUUAGUGAAAAGUUUAUGAUUUACUUGAUCCGCGUAAUGGGACGUGUUACACAGGGGCCAGGGGUUUAACCGGGCAAAAGACAUCUUGCGUUUCCAGUCUCCAGGAUUCCUUCAUAAAAAAUAAUGUCUGUUGGGUAUGCAUCUGUCAUGUUUAGGUUUCAUGUAGAACAUUCUGGCUGAUUUAAUGAUCAAAUAUCCAGACGCUGGUUUUGCUGAUCAAACUUGUGUCCACGUGCUAGAACUAUACUGUAAAUGAGUAGUGAUAGAGACAACUUUUAUUUAUUUAUUUUAAUUGAUGGUUAUUUUUGUAAAAUAAUGAUACUAUGCUUACAACCCUCCAUUUAAAAUAGUGUUACAAAAUAGUUUAAAAAUAGUAUUUGUCUUUGUCACUUUUCAUUGUAACUGAUGGAAUAAUAAUAGAAAAAUGAUAUUUGCAGUCAA